rnacentral:pre_miRNA from 1 species
UUUGUACUCCCUCCGUCCGAAAGUACUUGUCAUCAAAAUGGAUGAAAAUGGAUGUAUCUACAACUAAAAUACAUCUAGAUACAUCCAUUUCAAUGACAAGUAUUUCCGGACGAAGGGAGUACUAA